UUGGAAAAAACUGUAUGUUUUGUUCUCAUUUAGUUACAUUAUAGAAAUUAUACCUGUUACAAUUAUAUCUGAAAAAUAAAAACUCAUUUGUCCAAAUGAUUGUAGAUGUCUUCAUUGAUCCUUUCCUUGAUUACAGAUAGAUGGAUAUUUUGGAAAUUAUAGAUUAUGUAAUGUAAGUGUAUUGCCUAAUGUAAAACUGUGUGAUAUGUAUUUUAUAGUACUGUAGCAUAUUUAUUUAAGCACCUUUAAGGCUGAUUUGAAACAUGUAUCUUGCAUUGUCUGCUGUUGGAUGAACUGAUUGUUAAAAGUACUAAACUGAAAGAAGAUCAUACCGUUAUGUUUCGGUGAUUAAACCAAAUGUUCUCAUUACAUAUUACAAUAAUCUUGAAUUUGAAACAAUGAUUAUGUGGACUGAAAACAUGUGCAACUUACUGAAAGCAUUACAUCAAGAAUAACUAGUUGCGUUACAAGUGUGAUCAGUUUGGAUUUUUGUACUACCUGUAAGAGUUUUGAAAAUGUACACCUUACUUGUGAAAAUAGUACCAAAGCGAAAAAAACUGUAAUGUAUAGAUGGGAAGUAAAUAAAAAAAUGAUAUAUUAUUUGUAUCAUUAAAAAUGUAUAUAUUUUUUGACAUUACUCUUUUAAUCUCUGGGGUCAUUUUUACCCCCAAGGGACUUUAACAUAUACAGGAAUAUAGGGUCUUAUGAGGGUUAAUUAAAGUCUUCCUGUAGUAAAGAAUUGAAUAAUUUAAAAUGAAUAUUUGAGCAUCAUAAUAGCAUGUAUAAAAGUUUUACCUGUCACAGUUAUUUCCUUUAAAACAGCUUGAAUGUAACUCUACAGCCCUGCCUUAUUAAGUGUACGUGGAUUUAUUAAUUUGUAAAUUAGUCCCGCCUCCACUUAAUUCCACAGCUCGGACAAUUUAAAUGAAUAUGCGAAUUAGUCCCUGUCUCCACUCUUUCACACCACCUGGGGCAUAGAUAUAUUUGUAAAUAGAUGACACAUUCGGCAGUUUCGGACACAUAAAUGUUAAGUUCAGUUUCACACAAUGCAUACGUGAACUGCACGUUUCCAGGACUAAUCUUUAAGCGCUGAUGUUAACAGGUUACAGCACUUAUCCUGCAUGUGUGAGCAGCACGUUUAAGCAGCAUACACUCCUAAGAAAAAUGGUUCUUCAAAGGUUCUUAAACGAUGACAAAGGUUCUAUAUAGAACCAUAGCUUACUAAAGAACUCUUUUUUGCUGAAAUGGUUCUUUAAUUCCCACAUUUUUUGUCCAGUCAGUUUUUUUAAGCUGCCUCCUGAUAAGUUUCACCUGUAAAAGCCCUGAAUCAUCAGUCCUGCUGAACCGCCUGCAGACUAACAACAGAAACAGCUAGUAAAAUAAUAUUUUUUUACUGUUAAAAACAUUUUGAAAAUUAAAGUUUUGUGUGUUCUUAUUGUACUUUAAGCUUCAUUCCCUUUAUAACAGGUAAGCUUCAUACUGUUUUAAGUGAUGUAUUUAGGGUACUCUGCUUUAACAAUGACUUAGGAUAAUGUGUUAAAGUGUUAAAAAGCAUUUACAUGUAAAUUGUACAUUAAGUUUAUUAAACAUAAUUAUCAAAGGAAUGUGGUACAAAAUAUUAUUAUUGAUAUUUCAGAGUUUUCGUAUGUGAGGUAAUCUUGCUUAUGCUGGAAGUGAAGGCAGUGCGUAUGACCACUUGAUAAAGACACAUCCUGUUUUUAAAGGUGGAUUAUGAGUGAAGCUCUAAAAAGUUGGAUAGUUGCAGUUCGGCCAUUGUCUUGAUAACAGUGGUUUAUAUGAAUUCAAUUUAUGAAUAAGUAUUUCACCAAUUUACUGACAAAAACAGACCCAAAUCUUGUUCGGCCUGAUGCUCAACCUUGUACAGUCCACCAGAUGAUGGACUCUGUAAAUUGAUGGGAAUCUGUGGUAAUCACAACCAUGUGGUGGACGACCUCCACGAGGUGAGACCACACAAGCCAGUGCGGGCUGAGCAGACCUUCGCUCACUCUUACUUUUGGGCACACCACGUGGAGGAAGUCGUGGAGGAGGUCGAGGGGGCACAGGUGGGGCAGUAAUUUUACUGUCAGUUGAUGGCAGAAGAUCCAGGGCUGUGGUGAAGUAAAAAACUUUGGCAAUUUAUACAUGGUGGCAAAGCUUGCGGUUUUGGAUGUUGAGAAGAUGCACUGUUCUGCAGCCUAGUGACUCCAUUGACGGUACCCAGACUAGUUUCAUACCAGGUCUGUGAAGAUGGCAAAUGCAGUGACAGUGUUUCUCCUCUGAAUGGGUAGGUGGCGGUGUUGCGCACUGAUGCUUUUCCAUGGUAUCACCGGCCAAGUUAACUACAUCGCUGCCAUCAGGAGCUGAGCGAAAAGAGGAUGCUUACUGCUAUUUGCUUCCCGGUCCUUGGCUUUAAGUCACACAAAGCCUUGUCCUUUCUACUAGUGGAGCGAAUGUGACUUGAUGGGUGGUGUAAUGCACUGAGAUUUGGUUUUGGUGGAGGAUUGGGCUUUUUUGGAAUGAUCAUGGCCACUAGCCUUUCCACAUGGCUGAAAAUGGGAAGUAGGUCACCACACCAGUUGAGGAUUCUUACAGUAAAAUGAGGGUUGUUUGCCCCAUGUAUACAGAUGCAGAACAUAUCACAAUGCACUGUUGCUUUGAUUGUACACAGUAUUUGGGUAUUUGGUAAAGGAAUUUUGCCAAUAAAGGAUUGGCACUUCUGGCUGAAAGACCGACA